rnacentral:misc_RNA from 1 species
GAAUUUUUCUACAGUGGGGUCUAAACACAAUUUUGUUGCCCCGCUAUGCAUGAAGUAAAGUGGCGGGGAGGCUCAACCUUGAAGCCAUAUUUCAAGUUCAUAGAAACAAGAGUUUCAAGGCAUAAGAGUUCUCAUAGGUUUACUUUUCUUCUAACUUACGGUUUCAACACUUAAUCUCAUGCAUUCAAGCCAUGCUUUCAUUGCUGUAUCUGAAUACUUAAUUUCAACACUAAUUUUGGCGCAGCCACUUGUUACAUUUUUUGGGUUAACGACACCACAAGCUGUUAGAUGAUAUGCCUCUGUGAUUCAUUUAACUAGUCUUUUU